rnacentral:tRNA from 1 species
GCCCCUGUGACGGAACUGGCAUACGUGCUGGAAUCAGAGUCCAGAUUUUACAGGUUCAAAUCCUGUCAGGGGUACUA